AACGGUGUGGCUUAGUGGAAAGAGCAUGGGCUUGGGAGUCAGAGGUCGUGGGUUCUAAUCCCACCCCUGCCA
rnacentral:tRNA from 1 species